UAUGUGAUCGUCUCUCGCAUAUCAAUAAGCGGAGGAAAAGAAACUAACAAGGAUUCCCCUAGUAACGGCGAGUGAAGCGGGAAGAGCUCAAAUUUGAAAUCUUAAAGGGUUUCCCUUUACGAAUUGUAGUUUAAAGAAGUGUUUUCUGUUGAGGUUUUGGUAAAAGUUCUUUGGAAUAGGACAUCAUAGAGGGUGAGAAUCCCGUAUUUGACCUUUACUUUCAACUUUGUGAUACACUUUCAAAGAGUCGGAUUGUUUGGGAAUGCAGUCCAAAAUGGGUGGUAAAUUUCAUCUAAAGCUAAAUAUUGGCGAGAGACCGAUAGCGAACAAGUACCGUGAGGGAAAGAUGAAAAGAACUUUGAAAAGAGAGUUAAACAGUACGUGAAAUUGUCAAAAGGGAAGCGUUUGACACCAGUGUUGUUUUUCUGAAAAUCAAUUAAAGAACUGUUUAUGCUAAGCUGUUUAGACUUUAUCAGCUAAUCUGUUUAGUUUUGAGCUUUUCUUUAAUGCACUUUUCAGUUAACAAGUCAACAUCAAUUUCUUUUGCUGUAAAAAAGCUUGAGGAAGGUGGCUUGAGAUUCGUCUUAAGUGUUUAUAGCCUCUUGCCUAUGCAGUCGGAGAGAUUGAGGUCUGCAGCGUAGAUCCUUCGGGGCUAAAUGCAUUUGUGCUAAGUUAUAGCAUUUUAUAGACAACUUGUUGACUAUGAUUUAGUCUUGUAGCUUACUCGCUUAUGUUAUUUUACCUACGCUUAGGAUGUUGACUGAUAUGUAGUCGUA
rnacentral:rRNA from 1 species